UCCCUUGUGGCUUAGUUGGUAAAGAAUCCACCUGCAAUGUGGGAGACCUGGGUUCAAUCCCUGGGUUGGGAA
rnacentral:tRNA from 1 species